UACGUAGGGUGCGAGCGUUGUCCGGAAUUAUUGGGCGUAAAGCGCGCGUAGGCGGUUACUUAAGUCGGAUGUGAAAGCCCUCGGCUUAACUGAGGAAGUGCACCCGAAACUGAGUAGCUAGAGUACGAAAGAGGGUCGCGGAAUUCCCGGUGUAGAGGUGAAAUUCGUAGAUAUCGGGAGGAACACCAGUGGCGAAGGCGGUGCGCUGGGCCGGAACUGACGCUGAGGAGCGAAAGCGUGGGGAGCAAACGGG
rnacentral:rRNA from 1 species